GUCAGCUCAAGGCUCCUACAAAGCAAACUUUUGUCGUCGUCCCCCUCCACAACACACACACACACACACACACACAGAAAAACUGCAACCGAUGUUGCAGUCACAGGAGCUGCAGACUGACAGAGUGGACUGGGUGAACGCAUGCGGCGAGAGAGGGGAAAAAAAAAAUGAUUUGAUAAAUUCGUCAGCCGAGCCACAGGAUACCUGGUUUUUAACUGUAUUGGACAGUCUUCAUUAGCGAGAAUGAGCAGUGAGAGAGAGAGAUCAAGGCAGCGUCUCUUUCAAAAGCCUUUUUUUUUUCCGGCCGUGGUUUUUCCACAUUGCACAAUCAAAAUGUCAGCCCAUACCUUGGUCAUUUGUAACAUAAUAAGUCGUAGGCGAUGGCUGCAAUGCAGCAGCGUGCUGGGGGAAGGGCAAACAGUCUGUCCCCUUUAAAAGGAUUUUUUAAAGAGUCUUGAUUAGAAAGUAUAAUGAGAUACCAAAGACACAGCAAAGAUGAUCUCUCCGGAGACUGAUGGAAAACAAAUUAAGAUGCUGCUUUUGUUUUUAAUUAUUAUUUUUCUAUCAGUCCACAGAAAGCUCAGUGUAGCCCUGAGGCACAGGAGUUGGACUCGCUGUCAUUGAUUUUUUUCCCCCCUGACAUAUUUAAAUAAUACAGAUUUUAAUCAUGUCAGCACACAAUGCUCUGAUCCCUUUAACACCAAAGCCUUCCAGCACUGCAUGUGCAUUUGAUUUAGAAAAUAGCACAGUGUCUGAGCUAAAAACUGGGCAAGUUCAUUGCUUAAGUGUGUCUCUGUGUGCAUGUGAGUCUGACGCAAAAGGUGAGAUUCGUCAGAUAUAAAAAUAUAAGCCUCUAUUCAGAGUCACAUUGAACCUUCUCACAGUAGAGUCUCAGUAGCUUUUUUUUGCCAUGCAUUAAUAGGGAAGGCUAAAUUAAUAAUGUAAUGCAUUGGGGUGUUUUUUUGUCUUUAUGUAAAUACAUGGCAUUCUGUAUUUUAAAUGAUCAUAAAGAAAUCAAAGUUUAAGCAUUCAUACCGUGGCCCUGGAAACAUCUUGACAUAAAACAGAGUAUGGUGCUGUUGAUCUGGAAUGGUCCUACAGAGAGCAGUCAUCCAAACAGUGGCCUUUGUUUUCCUCUGUUAACUGGAGCAUGUUCCAGGAUAGUGAAUGGGGGAGAAACAUGAGACUUCCAGGACAUGAGAAAUAGAUGCUCUACACCUCUGUGUACAGACAACUUUACCGGGAAAGACAGGAACAUGAAUAGAAGAUGAGCCGAACAGAAAUAACUGAAUCCUGAGAAAAAGAGAAAUGGGAUUGUGGUGAAACCGGAAAGACAAGAAAGAGUUGACUUGUCCACAAGCAAAUUUCGUUCUGUGUCAUAUUUUAUUACUUGAUAAUUCUCAAGCUCGAUGAACUUAUGUUUUAUGAUCCAGAGACGCUCUCAUUUUUAUUCCAUCUGUCACCCUACUGUACGUCAUAUCUUAUUCAUGCAUACCAAUGUCCAUUUUAAUUAGUCAUUCUGGGUCAGUGUAGACCUCUUCCUGCUUCAAGCAGUGGUGUGGCAGAUGUGUGAAUGAGGUUCAUUUGCCAUUAUUUGAGCGAAAAUAGGCCAUUACAGCGGCUGUGAUGAGACAACAGCCCCGCUGUGGUAAUAAAAUACAUACAUCUUCAGUUAAACAGAAAAGAUGCUGUUAGGGAUGCAGCAGGAUAAAUCACUUAAGAUGCAAUGUGUUUGUGAAAAAAAAAAAAAUUGGCUAUGUCACAAAAGGUUUACCAUAGAUUCAAUUAAAUUGUUUUCAAAAAAUCAAACAAGUAAUGAUCAUAAUUAGAGAUAUCAUAAUUAUGCCUGUGCAGGAAAACAAAUUGAAGAAAACACUUCCUUUCGUAUGUCGUUGUACAUGUUUUUCUCAGUUGUAGCUGGUGACGUGCAGGAGCUCAACAGUUUUCGGUAGCGUUAAAACAGAUUAUAAAUCUGCGUAGGUGAAGCAUUUAAAUUUGAGUUUCAAAAAUGAACGUCUGCUGAAAUUCAACCAGUUUCAAAAGGUCCAAUCUGUAAACAUGAGGUGCUGCAUAUAACUGAAGUAACACGUGAAAAUAAGCAUUUUGUGUGUUUCUCAAGCAUCAGUUUUGAUCAUAUUCUACUCCAAUGUUUACCUUACUGUAUAUACAGUCAUCUUGACAAUAAACAAAUAAGUUACAGA